GCCGGCAGACAUAUCACCCUGUAGCCCACGACUGGUUACCCACUGAAGCUAAGCAGGGCUGAGCCUGGAUGGGAGACCUUCUGGGAAAAACUAGGUUGCUGCUGGAA
rnacentral:rRNA from 1 species